rnacentral:rRNA from 1 species
CGCCGUCUGGAGGAUGGCUCGGCUUGAGAGCCGAAGAAGGGCGCGGCAAGCCGCGAUACCGCCCCGGGUAGGCGCAUGCAGCCUUAGAACCGGGGAUACCUCAAUGGGACUUCCUACUUUGGCUCUUCGGAGUCACGGUGCUCCUUCACGGAGCGGGAACCCCCCGAACGGAAGCAUCUUAGUAGGGGGAGGAAAAGAAACCAAAAGGGAUUCCCUUAGUAGCAGCGAGCGAAAUGGGAAAAGUCCAAACUGAAUUCCACGCUGAAAAGCGCGGGAGAUGUGGGGUUUAGGGCCCGGCUUCCUCUUCACUGGUUAAGCUGAAAUGGCCUGGAAUGGCCCGCCAUAGAGGGUGACAGCCCCCUAAGCGUAAGCCGGAAAGAGUUGAGCUGGAGUCCCAGAUUACCGUACCCUGGUUUGGGUGCGGAAAAUCGGAAGACACCAACUUCCAAGACUAAAUACGCCUCAAGACCGAUAGCGCACUAGUACGGUGACGGAAAACUGAAAAGUACCCCGGAAUGGGGGUGAAAAGUGCCUGAAACCAGACGGUUACAGACGUGUGCAGCCCGGAAGAGUAGAACCCUUUCGAAGGAAACCGCUGUGAAGCGGCAGUACGAGAGAGGGGGAUCAGGGUUGCAUAUUCCGUCUCGAAACACGGGCCGGGGAGUUUACAGCUGUGGCAAGCCUAAGGGCAAAAAACCCGUAAGCAUAGGGAAACCAAUAUGCACGCAACUACCGCAAGGUAGCCAGGUGCAGGGUCUGAAAGGGCCUGGAGUCAUAGCUGUACAAACUAGAAACCAGACGAUCUAUCCCUGGGCAGAGUGAAGCUCGGCGAAAGCCUAGUGGAGGCUCGAAAGGGUGCUGACGUGCAAUUCGUUCCCCAGACCUGGGGAUAGGGGCUAAAGACCAAUCUAGUCUGGUGAUAGCUAGUUCCCUCCGAAGUGGGUCGCAGCCCAGCCCCGAGCGAGGUAGCUUACGGGGUAGAGCACUGACUGGGAAGUAAGGGGUCGAAAGGCCUCGCUUUCCUAUCAAACUCCGAAUCCGUAAGCGCCGUAGACCUCGGGAGACGGGUUCUGGGGGGUAAGCUCCCAGUCCGAGAGGGGAACAACCCAGACCGAGGUUAAGGCCCCAAAAUGCUGGCUAAGUGUUAAACGGAAGGGUGUCAUCAGCCCCAGACAGCGGGAAGGUAGGCUUAGAAGCAGCCAACCUUCAAAGAGUGCGUAACAGCUCACCCGCCGAGGCUCAUGGCCCCGAAAAUGGACGGGGCUAAGCCAGCUGCCGAUACCUUGGGGCACAGCUUCUAGCUGUGAUCUGGUAGGAGGGCGUCCUGGUUGGGCGGAAGCUGGGCCGUGAGGUCCAGUGGACCGGUCAGGAUUGCAGAUCCCGGUGGUAGUAACAGCAAAGAGAGGUGAGAAUCCUCUCCGCCGAAGGGGCAAGGGUUCCCCGGCAAUGCGCCGUCAGCCGGGGGUAAGCCGGUCCUAAGGCCGACCUUAACUGGGUAGGCCGAAAGGGAAACCGGUUAAUAUUCCGGUGCCUCAGAGGUACGAAUGCGGUGACGCAAGGCCUGGUGCCUGACGCUUCGGGAUAGGUUGAGCGGGGUCGUCGCCCUGCUUAACCGUAUAAGCUUGGGGAGUGCCGUAAUGGCGAGAACCAAGCGAAAUCGGGAAUAGCCGUCCGUUUUAGGAUGGUUCAGCUGAUUCUUGGAGCCAGUGAAAAGGGCAGCAGGAAGGAUCCUCUGUGACCGUACCCAGAACCGACACAGGUGUCUCUAGGCUAGAAACCUAAGGCGUGUCGGGUGCACGCCAAGCGAGGGAAAUCGGCAAAUUAGCCCCGUAACUUCGGGAUAAGGGGUGCCUGCAGUUUUGGCCUCAGGCUGGAACCGCAGGUCGCAGUGACAAAGGGGUCUCGACUGUUUAAUAAAAACACAGGAAGCCGCAAGCCCGAAAGGGUGUGAACGGCUUCUGAAUCCUGUCCAGUACAGGUACCUGAAACCUGGGUCCAACCGGGCUAAGGGCCUGCAAACGACGGGAGUAACUCUGACUCUCUUAAGGUAGCCAAAUGCCUUGUCGGGUAAGUUCCGACGCGCAUGAAUGGAACAACGAGGGCCCCACUGUCCCCACCUGGUACCCGGUGAACCCACGUAACGUGGACGAACAGUCCACAA